GGCACAUUGCUGCUUUUUUCCUCCUUUUCUCCAUGAAGUCUCACUCCUUGGAAUCCUCAACUGCCCAAAACUCGCCGAUGGAGCAAAUAUAAAGAGAAUCCGACACCAAGCGCUCGCGUUCUGGUGAUCACCGAUGCAACGCACACACAGCGAGCCUCAUCUACUUGGACGCCAAGAAACAUUAAACACAAGGUGUCUACCUGAUGCUGAAGAGUGGCUACCUAGGCAAAGAAUGUUUUUCGAUUGGGCCACGCGCCAUCGGAAAUGUAAUGAAAAAAAGGAAAAAAAGAAAAACACGUUCAGCUGUGAGUUUUUUUCACUUUCCAUACUCUU